rnacentral:rRNA from 1 species
AGUGAACGCUGGCGGUAGGCCUAACACAUGCAAGUCGAACGGCAGCACAGUAAGAGCUUGCUCUUACGGGUGGCGAGUGGCGGACGGGUGAGGAAUACAUCGGAAUCUACUUUUUCGUGGGGGAUAACGUAGGGAAACUUACGCUAAUACCGCAUACGACCUACGGGUGAAAGCAGGGGAUCUUCGGACCUUGCGCGAUUGAAUGAGCCGAUGUCGGAUUAGCUAGUUGGCGGGGUAAAGGCCCACCAAGGCGACGAUCCGUAGCUGGUCUGAGAGGAUGAUCAGCCACACUGGAACUGAGACACGGUCCAGACUCCGACGGGAGGAAGCAGUGGGGAAUAUUGGACAAUGGGCGAAAGCCUGAUCCAGCCAUACCGCGUGGGUGAAGAAGGACUUCGGGUUGUAAAGCCAUUUUGUUGGGAAAGAAAAGCAGCAGGUUAAUACCCCGCUGUUCUGACGGUACCCAAAGAAUAAGCACCGGCUAACUUCGUG